rnacentral:rRNA from 1 species
CCUACGGGAGGCAGCAGUGGGGAAUAUUGGGCAAUGGGCGCAAGCCUGACCCAGCCACGCCGCGUGAAGGAAGAAGGCUCUCGGGUUGUAAACUUCUUUUAAGAGGGAAGAGCAGAAGACGAUACCUCUUGAAUAAGACACGGCUAACUACGUGCCAGCAGCCGGGGCAAUUCGUAGGUGGCAAGCGUUGUCCGGAUUUACUGGGUGUAAAGGGCGUGUAGGCGGGCUGAUAAGUCAGAUGUGAAAUCCCGUGGCUCAACCACGGAACUGCAGUUGAAACUGUCGGUCUUGAGUAUGGGAGAGGCAGGCGGAAUUCGUAGUGUAGCGGUGAAAUGCGUAGAUAUUAGGAGGAACACCAGUGGCGAAGGCGGCAUGCUGGACGACAACUGACGGUGAGGCGCGAAAGCGUGGGGAGCAAACAGGAUUAGAUACCCUUGUAGUC